rnacentral:lncRNA from 1 species
CCUGAAGGAGUCUGAACACGUAGGACAUUUCCUCCUGCGUGAAGCCGACAGUUUGGAGAGCCCACUGAACCAUUGCUGAGCCACUUCUUGUUUCAGUUGUCCAUUGGUCAUCUUCACUGUCUAGUGAAUUAUUUCUGUCACCGACCACGGUGUCAGAGGUAGUUAGCGGAGAAAGGCCUCCCAAGCUGUCGAGCAGAACUUUCCUCAACCAGUUCACUUGCCUUACUUCAUCGACCAAAAGUGGCGUUGUUGAGUCAGAGACAACAGGUCCGGCGGCCCCUCCAGCUCCCCUGUCUGACUCUGCUCCUUUUUUCUGACUUUCCAUGAUGUGGGACAGUAAUUCGAAGAUGUGGAAGCUUUUCCGUUCUCCAGCAAGCGGCCUUGCUAAACUUCCUGGUGCAAAGAGCACCGGAUACAGCCGCCAGCGAAUCUUCUCUCUGUCAUCUCGAAAGUCACCAGAAACAUGUAAUGGACCCACCGUCGAGAUGCAGGGCAUGCGCAUUUCCAUCAUGAGGCAGCAUCUCGUUGAAGAUGAGUUGCUGGGGACAGGUGCGUGGAAAAAGGCCCGGAUCAGGAUGUUUAGAGCAGCAAGCUGAUUGCAUGCUCCUACAAUUUCCUUCUGCAAUUCCUCAUUUAACUCAGAACCGGUUCGUUCUGCAGGUGAUUUCACAGAUCUCAAAGAUGUGUUGCCUGCAGUGGGAGGCCUUCGCAAUCGGACAGUUUCAUAGUACUUCCAUACCGCGUAUUUCAUUGCGUGAGCACGAAUAAAUGUUUUACCACUGCCCAAAGGUCCCCCGAUUACCAGUGACUCGACAGAGGCUGGAACAGCAACAUCGAUUGCAUUAUUCUUCUGCAGACGGCCAGGCGACUGGGGUGAAAGAAGAUCAGACACUACGGUCGUCGGGUUUCCAAUUCCAUUCGUGGCUGGUCUCGCCGCAGUUUCACAAAAAUUAUCUCGGGAGUGUUCAAGGAUGAGAGGUAAUUGUGGCGAUGGCUCAGUGUUUGAAAUGGUUCCAUUAAUGCUGCCUUCAAAAAACUGCUCCCACGAAAUCGCGUCAUUCCCCUUACAGUCAUGUUCGGACUGCCAUGAACACAUACGGUUGAACAGGGCAUCAACCGGAGCAAACGGAGGAAGAAACGAACGAUCCACGGCGCUGUGGCUCGACGAAUUGGCGUCUAUGGAGUGUUUCUCUUCUAGGGAAACAGAGGAGGAAACCAAGGAAACACAUCCGGUCGAGGUGGGUCCACUGGCGCUUGAGCUAUUCCCAGGGUCGAGUUGCGGCAGAGUCGUGGAAGCCGAAGGAAACACAAUGAGCGCUUUGCCUGUCCAGAUGCUUAUGAACGGAGGGUCGCAGCGUAGCCUCACCGGCAGCUUCUGCGUUUUGUCGCAGCUGCUCAGACCCGUAGGCCCACACUUGGUAUGAGGGGUGCUCAUCCUCUGGAUCUCCGGUCAGGGAGCCUGAAAAUCCAAUUGAGGAUCACCAGUCAAACGUCUGCGAAUGGUGGGAAAACGGAAACCACCAGGUGGAUGUACCCUGUUAUCUCUCCAGUAUCAUGGAGAAACGUCGAGGCUUCUGAGGCAUGAAGCAUGUUCUGGCCACUUCGUUGUGAACCAGUGAAGUUGUUGACGGCAGUUACUUCCAACUGAACGUCGACACCUGUAAUGACGCUUUUUCUCACUCGUAGAACGCCACCAGCGGUAACCUCGGAGAGACUACUUCAACAUCCGACGGC